UGUGAGUGUUAGUUGAAGUCUUCCUCUAAAUCUCUCUGAGUCUUCAUAUUAAAAUCAUAAAGUGAAGGCAGCUGCAGUUUUCACAAGCAGCUUCUCUCCACCGACCACAGUGCAUGAUGGGAAACUCUCUGCUCUCCACUAAUCUAAUCAAGUUGAAUCCAAACUUUUCUUUAUGUUUCACUGGAAAGAUGAUUUGAUUCGACUUAUUGAAGGAUUAUUAUCUUCAUAAAUACAAAGUGACUAAAAGUCUCUCAGCUGAUUGAGUCUGUCACGAGUUGAGCUGAUGAAGUUACAAACAGAUACUUCCUCAUGUCAAACAUUUAGUGUUCAGGAGACACACAGGGGGACAGCUCUCGUCUUCAAACACCUCAUUUCCUCCCAGAGAAAGAGGAAGUGUGCGGAGUUUGGAUAAAGUGCGCAACAAAGAAAUGCAGCUUCAACAGCGAUGAUUUGGCUCCUUUAAGUCUUCAAAGCUUCCAACUACUAAAGUGUUUAUGGAUCCUCAAACUGUGGCUCGAGACAACACUGAAGCUUUUCUACAUUAUUACUGUAGCGACCAUAUGUUCACAUUGAAUCACCUCAUCUAUACACUUCAUAUCAAGAACUUUAAACAGACAAACUCAGUGUGUGACUGAUGAGAUGCAGCCAGCAGGAAGAAACUGCGUCCUCACUUCACGCCCUCUUUCAUGCACUUGGGGAGGAGUUGAUGGUUCCUGAGAGCAGCCCCAACAACAGGAAGUGAUGUCACAAACACUCUCAGCUCCAAACUCUAACAAUUAAUAUCAGCAUAAAACAUGACUUAUGUCUGAUCAGAAUAUGAAGUGACUUCUUUAUUAUGAUGUAUUCAUUGUGUCUAUUGUGUGACUGUAGGAGCAUGGAGGGAUUGUGUUUGACACAUGUGUUACAGAUGAUUGGUUGUGUGUAUGCACAAGUUUGAAAAGGCUUUAUUUUCAUAUAUAUGACCUCUGAAUGUUUAAAUCAUAAUUUGACUCACUCAGUGAAUGUCAGUCAUUGUAAAGUCAAAUAAAAACAUAUGUUUAAAAAAUGACCAAAAGCUUUUUCAUUCAUGGGAACAAAAGUUCAACACACUGAAGUAGUGCUAAU